rnacentral:ncRNA from 1 species
UUUAAAAAAAGUAAUGAAUAUAAAAAUUAAUGUAGCUAAUUAUUUUGAACUUUGAACAUGAUCAGUUUUUUUCUUUAUUUUAUAAUAUAAAGUAAUGUAACUAAAAUCGAACAUUAAUGUCUUUCAUUGUAACAUUUUUGAUACAAAAAAAAAAUAACUUAACGGAUAACGUGGAAUCAGGUUCGAUUCCGGAGAAGGAGUCCAAGAAACGGCUACCACGGAAGGCAAAAGGCGAGUAAAUUAACCACUCCCAAUACAGGACUCGUAUCUCAGACCCUGUAAUUGGAAUGAGUACACUUUAGAUCCUUUAACAAGUAAAUAUUGGAGAGCAAGUCUCGUGCCAGCAGCCGCGGUUGUUGCGGUUAAAA